CAAGUCGAGGGGCAGCAUGGUCUUAGCUUGCUAAGGCCGAUGGCGACCGGCGCACGGGUGAGUAACGCGUAUGCAACCUGCCCUUCACAGGGGGAUAACCGGGAGAAAUUCCGACUAAUACCGCAUACGUCCUUUGGGGGCAUCCCCGGGGGAUGAAAGAAUUAUCGGUGAAGGAUGGGCAUGCGUGAUAUUAGGUAGUUGGCGGGGCAACGGCCCACCAAGCCCACGAUAUCUAGGGGUUCUGAGAGGAAGGUCCCCACAUUGGUACUGAGACACGGACCAAACUCC
rnacentral:rRNA from 1 species